UCCUGGCAAGGCUGACAGGGCUGGUCUGAUACCAAAGCUUGUCAAAGAGCCAUUGCUUGAUGGUGGAUUUAUGUUGACUCUUAUACACCCCAUCACAAACCUCAUCUCAGUUACCUACAUUUUUUCUUUCUGCUUUGUUUUGCUCAGAACAGCUCUGCCUGCAUAUGUCAUUUGCAGUUUGCAGGCAUCGUUGUAAUUAUCUUGGCAAUGCAGUAGCCAAACUGUCCUCUCAAAAUCAGAGUACAGUACAUGACUAUUUCUCACAGUUACCAUGCAAGUCUCAUCGAAGUUUUGUGCUUUUGCUCCAAGAAGGAUAUGUAAUAAAAGAUUGAAAUCUCA